rnacentral:misc_RNA from 1 species
AGAAUCUACAAAUCUACACCAACUGCCUAAAGAAAUUCUGAAUAUUACACAGUUGAGGCACCUUCUUUUGAAUCCUUGUGGUGGAAUUAGAGUUCCAAGAGGGAUUGGAACGUUGGUAAAUCUUCACACAUGUGCUGGUGUCUAUGCUAAUGCUACCUUUGCUAGUGAAUUAAGUACUUUAACCCAUCUACAAAACCUUGAUGUUCGAAAUGUGUCUGAGG